rnacentral:rRNA from 1 species
UGGGGAAUCUUGCGCAAUGCGCGAAAGCGUGACGCAGCAACGCCGCGUGGGGGAAGACGGCCUUCGGGUUGUAAACCCCUUUCAGGAGGGACGAAGGUUCGCCGGUGAAUAGCCGUGCGGAUUGACGGUACCUCCACAAGAAGCUCCGGCUAACUACGUGCCAGCAGCCGCGGUAAUACGUAGGGAGCAAGCGUUGUCCGGAAUCAUUGGGCGUAAAGCGCGCGUAGGUGGCCUCGUAAGUCCGUUGUGAAAGUCAAAGGCUCAACCUUUGAAAGCCGAUGGAUACUGCGGGGCUAGAGUACGGAAGAGGCGAGUGGAAUUCCUGGUGUAGCGGUGGAAUGCGCAGAUAUCAGGAGGAACACCAAUAGCGAAGGCAGCUCGCUGGGACGUUACUGACACUGAGGCGCGAAAGCGUGGGGAGCGAACAGGAUUAGAUACCCCUGUAGUCC